ACUUUUUUAGUAUAUUCAAUAUAUUUGACUUCCAAUCAAAAGAACUUAAGUUAAGAAAAAGUA
rnacentral:tRNA from 1 species